GACGGAGGGUGCAAGCGUUGUUCGGAAUCACUGGGCGUAAAGCGCGUGUAGGCGGCCCGAUUAGUCGAGUGUGAAAGCCCGAGGCUCAACCUCGGAAGCGCACUCGAAACUGUCAGGCUUGAGUACGGGAGAGGGAAGUGGAAUUCCUGGUGUAGAGGUGAAAUUCGUAGAUAUCAGGAGGAACACCGGUGGCGAAGGCGGCUUCCUGGACCGAUACUGACGCUGAGACGCGAAAGCGUGGGGAGCAAACAGG
rnacentral:rRNA from 1 species